rnacentral:rRNA from 1 species
UCCGUAGGUGAACCUGCGGAAGGAUCAUUACCACACCUAAAAAACUUUCCACGUGAACCGUUUCAACCCAAUAGUUGGGGGUCUUAUUUGGCGGCGGCUGCUGGCUUAAUUGUUGGCGGCUGCUGCUGAGUGAGCCCUAUCAAAAAAAAGGCGAACGUUUGGGCUUCGGCCUGAUUUAGUAGUCUUUUUUUCUUUUAAACCCAUUCCUUAAUACUGAAUAUACUGUGGGGACGAAAGUCUCUGCUUUUAACUAGAUAGCAACUUUCAGCAGUGGAUGUCUAGGCUCGCACAUCGAUGAAGAACGCUGCGAACUGCGAUACGUAAUGCGAAUUGCAGGAUUCAGUGAGUCAUCGAAAUUUUGAACGCAUAUUGCACUUCCGGGUUAGUCCUGGAAGUAUGCCUGUAUCAGUGUCCGUACAUUAAACUUGACUUUCUUCCUUCCGUGUAGUCGGUGGAGGAGAUGUCAGAUGUGAAGUGUCUUGCGAUUGGUCUUCGGACCGGCUGCGAGUCCUUUUAAAUGUACUAAACUGAACUUCUCUUUGCUCGAAAAGUGGUGGCGUUGCUGGUUGUGAAGGCUGCUAUUGUGGCAAAUUGGCGACUGGUUUGUCUGCUGCGGCGUUAAUGGGAGAGUGUUCGAUUCGUGGUAUGGUUGGCUUCGGCUGAACAAUGCACUUAUUGGACGUUUUUCCUGCUGUGGCGUGAUGGACUGGUGAACCAUAGCUCGGUGGCUUGGCUUUUGAAUUGGCUUUGCUGUUGCGAAGUAGGGUGGCAGCUUCGGUUGUCGAGGGUCGAUCCAUUUGGGAACUUAAUGUGUACUUCGGUAUGCAUCUCAAUUGGACCUGAUAUCAGGCAAGAUUACCCGCUGAACUUAAGCAUAUCAAUAAGCGGAGGA